ACGGAAGGCAGCAGUGAGGAAUAUUGGUCAAUGGGCGGAAGCCUGAACCAGCCAAGUCGCGUGAAGGAUGAAGGUAUUAUGUAUUGUAAACUUCUUUAGCAGUGGAGUAAUAAGGAGCUCGUGAGCUCCGAUGCAAGUACACUGAAAAUAAGGAUCGGCUAACUCCGUGCCAGCAGCCGCGGUAAUACGGAGGAUCCGAGCGUUAUCCGGAUUUAUUGGGUUUAAAGGGUGCGCAGGCGGCCUUGUAAGUCAGCGGUUAAAUCGUGGAGCUCAACUCCAUCCCGCCGUUGAUACUGCAGGGCUUGAUUGCGGUUGAGGUUGGCGGAAUUCGUCGUGUAGCGGUGAAAUGCAUAGAUAUGACGAAGAACACCGAUUGCGUAGGCAGCUGACCAGGCCGUAAAUGACGCUCAUGCACGAAAGUGCGGGGAUCGAACAGGAUUAGAUACCCUGGUA
rnacentral:rRNA from 1 species